CUCAUGUCCCUGCUUUAUGCUCCCUAGCUAGGAAGUAGAAUUUGUAUUUUGAUAAAAAGCAAUCAUGCAUCAUGGAACAAACACCAUACUUAAUUUGAAGUUCAAUCAUCAUGCAUUGCAGGCAAAAAGGAAGGCUUAUGAAGUUGUGGUUCAAGAUGGGAAACUUAUCUUCAACCAUAGUGGUGAAUUCAUUCACACAGUAGGAGGUAUCAAAAGUUCAUUCUCUUGGGUGAUUUUGUAGAUUUCCAUGCACCAAUGUAUAUCUUACAUGCCCACAUUGUGUGCUACAAAUAAUAAAAUAAUGUUAUGAACAAUGUUAAUGUUGUAGCUUCAUUGAUGGUAUGUACUUAAAAUGAUUUCAAGCAACUUCAUUGAUGGCAUGUACUUAAAUGAUUUCAUGCAAUUGCUUCAAAUAUUUUUU